GACGAACGCUGGCGGCGUGCCUAAUACAUGCAAGUCGAGCGCAGGAAACUGACGGAACUCUUCGGAGGGAAGGCAGCGGAAUGAGCGGCGGACGGGUGAGUAACACGUAAGGAACCUGCCUCAAGGAUUGGGAUAACUCCGAGAAAUCGGAGCUAAUACCGGAUAGUUCAACGGACCGCAUGGUCCGCUGAUGAAAGGCGCUUCGGCGUCACCUUGAGAUGGCCUUGCGGUGCAUUAGCCAGUUGGUGGGGUAACGGCCCACCAAGGCGACGAUGCAUAGCCGAGCUGGGAUGGUGAUCGGCCACACUGGGACUGAGACAUGGCCCAGACUCCUACGGGAGGCAGCAGUAGGGAAUCUUCCACAAUGGACGAAAGUCUGAUGGAGCAACGCCGCGUGAACGAUGAAGGCCUUCGGGUCGUAAAGUUCUGUUGUAAGGGAAGAACAAGUGCCGCAGGCAAUGGCGGCACCUUGACGGUACCUUGCGAGAAAGCCACGGCUAACUACGUGCCAGCCGCCGCCGUAAGAC
rnacentral:rRNA from 1 species